GCUGCGCCGCGACGGCAUGUUCACCGACGCCGCCUUCGGCGUGGUGGCGAUCGUCGACCGCGACGGCAUGGUGCAGGCCUCGACCCGGCCC
rnacentral:tRNA from 1 species